AGCGGGGUAGGGUAGCCUGGUAGCCUGCGGGGCUCAUAACCCCGAGAACCCAAUCGGGUCGGGAAGUCCCCGGUUCGAAUCCGGGCCCCGCUACCA
rnacentral:tRNA from 1 species